GUGCCAGCCGCCGCGGUAAUACCGGCAGCCCGAGUGAUGGCCGAUCUUAUUGGGCCUAAAGCGUCCGUAGCUUGCUGUGUAAGUCCAUUGGGAAAUCCACGCGCUCAACGCGUGGGCGUCCGGUGGAAACUGCACGGCUUGGGGCCGAGAGACUCGACGGGUACGUCCGGGGUAGGAGUGAAAUCCCAUAAUCCCGCACGGACCACCGAUGGCGAAAGCACUUCGAGAAAACGGAUCCGACAGUGAGGGACGAAAGCCAGGGUCUCCAACCGGAUUAGAUACCCGAGUAGUCC
rnacentral:rRNA from 1 species